rnacentral:rRNA from 1 species
UACGUAGGGUGCGAGCGUUUAAUCGGAAUUACUGGGCGUAAAGCGUGCGCAGGCGGUUUUGCAAGACAGAUGUGAAAUCCCCGGGCUUAACCUGGGAACUGCAUUUGUGACUGCAAGGCUAGAGUGUGUCAGAGGGAGGUGGAAUUCCGCGUGUAGCAGUGAAAUGCGUAGAGAUGCGGAGGAACACCGAUGGCGAAGGCAGAUCUCUGGGCCGUAACUGACGCUGAGG